CGGCCAUAGUGGGUGAUAGCCCUGUACGCGAAAAUCUCUUAGUCAUGAAAUCGAGUAGGACGGAGCACGAGAAACUUUGUCUGAAUAUGGGGGGACCAUCCUCCAAGGCUAAAUACUACUGACUGACCGAUAGUGAACUAGUACCGUGAGGGAAAGGCGAAAAGAACCCCGGAGAGGGGAGUGAAAUAGAUCCUGAAACCGUAUGCGUACAAGCAGUGGGAGCCCACUUUGUUGGGUGACUGCGUACCUUUUGUAUAAUGGGUCAGCGACUUAUUUUCAGUGGCGAGCUUAACCGAAUAGGGGAGGCGUAGCGAAAGCGAGUCUUAAUAGGGCGUCUAGUCGCUGGGAAUAGACCCGAAACCGGGCGAUCUAUCCAUGGGCAGGUUGAAGGUUGGGUAACACUAACUGGAGGACCGAACCGACUACCGUUGAAAAGUUAGCGGAUGACCUGUGGAUCGGAGUGAAAGGCUAAUCAAGCUCGGAGAUAGCUGGUUCUCCUCGAAAGCUAUUUAGGUAGCGCCUCAUGUAUCACUGUAGGGGGUAGAGCACUGUUUCGGCUAGGGGGUCAUCCCGACUUACCAAACCGAUGCAAACUCCGAAUACCUACAAGUGCCGAGCAUGGGAGACACACGGCGGGUGCUAACGUCCGUCGUGAAAAGGGAAACAACCCAGACCGUCAGCUAAGGUCCCAAAGUUAUGGUUAAGUGGGAAACGAUGUGGGAAGGCUUAGACAGCUAGGAGGUUGGCUUAGAAGCAGCCACCCUUUAAAGAAAGCGUAAUAGCUCACUAGUCGAGUCGGCCUGCGCGGAAGAUGUAACGGGGCUCAAACCAUACACCGAAGCUACGGGUAUCACUUAGGUGAUGCGGUAGAGGAGCGUUCUGUAAGCCUGUGAAGGUGAGUUGAGAAGCUUGCUGGAGGUAUCAGAAGUGCGAAUGCUGACAUGAGUAACGACAAUGGGUGUGAAAAACACCCACGCCGAAAGACCAAGGUUUCCUGCGCAACGUUAAUCGACGCAGGGUUAGUCGGUCCCUAAGGCGAGGCUGAAAAGCGUAGUCGAUGGAAAACAGGUUAAUAUUCCUGUACUUCUGGUUAUUGCGAUGGAGGGACGGAGAAGGCUAGGCCAGCUUGGCGUUGGUUGUCCAAGUUUAAGGUGGUAGGCUGGAAUCUUAGGUAAAUCCGGGAUUCUA
rnacentral:rRNA from 1 species